rnacentral:rRNA from 1 species
CAUCUACUCUCUGGAUGUGUUUUCUCUAGGAUCACCUGGCACGAAAUUCUAUCGUGGUGCCAACUCACUACACCACCGAUGGACAGUGCGACUGUCUUCUUUGCAUGGUGGUCCAUGGUUGUCGAAGAUUCUCUGAGCUGCCUACAGAAGGGCCUCAACUCCAUUGUGGGGCUGACCGCCUGGGCCAUUUGGAAGCAUCGCGAUGCGGUCAUAUUCGAGGGUCGGCACCCCUCCACUGAUGACCUAGUACUCUCGGUCAAAGAUGACGCUCGCCUUUGGGCUAAUGCAGGCGCAAAAGGACUAGCCGUGAUCAUCCCUGUAACAUGA